rnacentral:tRNA from 1 species
AAAGAAGUAAAAAUACAUUUAGUUUCGACCUAAAUAUAGGAAAUAAAUUCCCAUGUUUU